UCUAUGUAUAUCUAUGGUCGGCACGUCUGGUAGCGUCUCUGGCUGCUGUUGACCUUGUUUUUGGAGUAAAACACGGUGGAAGCUGAAUUAGUGAGGAUGACUCCUGCUCCUGUCAUCUCAAAGCUCCUCACACAUCUUUACCUGCACAUGAGGAAAAUCACUCCUGUAGAAUGCAGAUGUUCAGAGGGAGAUGAUGCCACAUCUGGUCCAGCUGAUGGAAGGUCUUGAAGUUCUCUGACUGGCCUGGACUGAAGAUGGUCCUCUCACUGGAUUUAAGGUUCAGAUGCUCAGUAACAAACUCCACCAAUGUACCAACAGGGAAGCUUUAGGUUUAUUAAAUGUUACUAUGAAGGUUUCGCUGUUUUUCUUUGUGAAUGCAAUGUGCUCCAACUGAAACUUGAAUUAGAACAUAGAAGUAAAUCCUUCCAUCUGAAAGGAUUUAGUUGCAUUAAUAACCUCAUAACAUUCUAAUUUUUAUUCCAGUCUUGGUUGGAAAUAGAAUCUCUGUAUUGAUUCAGGUGAAAACUGAACUUCACAGCAUGUUGGAGCAAAACAACCAGAUGAAAACUGUGAUGGUGUUGGAUUGUCAGACCGUAAUGUUGCAGCUCAAAGCAGCUUUUCAGUUCAUUUUCUCAGUUCAUUCUGACAUUCAGCUAUGAAUCAACACAGCAGAUGGUGAUCCAUGCUGUGGAAGUCUCACAUCUCCUGAUUUAAUGGAGCUGCUUUGCACUUUUUACACUGUUUAUUCACCAACACUUUAUUUAAUAAAAGUCCCAUCUAGUUUUCAUGAGGAAUGUGAUGUUUUAAUUUCUCUGUGAAUAACUGCAGUCUAAUGUAACAGCUGGAGUUGUAACAUCUGUCCUGAUAUUGAUCAUGAAGUAUUGAUCAGAAUACUUAUGGUUAGCAGUCAUCCCUGAAGUUUUACAUUCAAAUCUUUACUUGUGUUGUGAACUUUGGUAAGAAGCAGAGACUUUUACAUUGCCAUGGAUACAUGAGUGUUAAAUUCUGUCCAUGUUUCCAUUUUGGGAAAUUCAGUCCAGCAGAUGAGUUUGUUUUUACUGCCAGCUACCAUUCAGUCUGAGAUAUUAAGAAUAAAUAAAUGUGCAUAAUGUGGAAAUGAACAGAUUUUAUUUUUAUUUAUUCCUACAGCUUCUGCAGGUAAAGUUAUAGGAUGUGGAGGAAUUUAGUCUCACAAUCACAGACAAUAAAUAUUAUCUGAAAGUCGGGUUAUUGUUGUUUAUCAGCACAAUACAAAAAGAUUAAUGUUAGAAAUAUUCCAGUUAAGACUCUAGAAUAUCAGGAUUUAUGUAAAUUUACUUCAAUAAUAUGAAUGUUCAGGUUAAGAUUGUACAGUGAUAUUUAUUAUGUAAGUUUAGCUGAUUAAAGUUUAUGACUCUGCACUAAAAUAUUAUUUAAAUUGACAUCAUUAUUAUAAUAUUUAGGGUCAGACCCUACAGUAUUGAGAUUAAGAAAUCAAAUAUUCUAUAAAAUGUAAAUACACUGAACUCAUUUGGAUAUAUUUAAG